UACGUAGGGGGCAAGCGUUGUCCGGAUUUAUUGGGCGUAAAGAGCGUGUAGGCGGCUUGGUAGGUCCGCUGUGAAAACUCGAGGCUCAACCUCGAGAUGUCGGCGGAAACCACUUGGCUAGAGUCCGGAAGAGGAGAGUGGAAUUCCUGGUGUAGCGGUGAAAUGCGCAGAUAUCAGGAAGACACCUAUGGCGAAGGCAGCUCUCUGGGACGGUACUGACGCUGAGACGCGAAAGCGUGGGGAACGAACAGG
rnacentral:rRNA from 1 species